rnacentral:tRNA from 1 species
UGUCGGAGAGCGAAAAUAGUUGCGUUCGGUUUCGGCCCGUUUUUUAAAGAAAAUCUUUUCUGACAA